ACUCUGAGGUCCUGGGGGCCCGGCUGACAUCUAUGCAUGAUCAGGAGGAGAACCAUGUGGUUCAGCGUAUCAUAAAGGCUGCCAGUAAUGCAGACAGUGACCUGGCUUGGAGGAUCUCAAGCCCAACAGGAUGGUUUUUGGUUCUGGCAUGACUGCACACCAUUCCAGUCCACAAACUGGUGUAAAGGAGCCCCACAAUUGGAAAGGUCCACUGGGAAGUGUGAAGACCAACUUUGGAGCAUCCCGCUGCUGGGAUGAUGAGCGCUGUGAUCAGGUAUCAAUCUGUCUGUGCCAAGAAGCUCUAAUCUGGAGCUGG